GUUGUAUGGUUAAGUGACUAAGCGUACACGGUGGAUGCCUGGGCAGUCAGAGGCGAUGAAGGACGUACUAACUUGCGAUAAGCGUAGAUGAGGCAGUAAGAGCCACUUGAGUCUACGAUUUCCGAAUGGGGAAACCCAGCUGCAUAAGCAGUUAUCAUCAAGUGAAUACAUAGCUUGAUGAGGCGAACCGGGGGAACUGAAACAUCUAAGUACCCCGAGGAAGAGAAAUCAACCGAGAUUCCGGCAGUAGCGGCGAGCGAAACCGGAUUAGCCCUUAAGCGCUUUAGGUGUCAGGCGAAUGAGCUGGAAAGCUCAGCGAUACAGGGUGACAGCCCCGUAGCCGACAACACAUUUGGCGUGAAAACGAGUAGGACGGGACACGUGUUAUCUUGUCUGAAGAUGGGGGGACCAUCCUCCAAGGCUAAAUACUCCUGACUGACCGAUAGUGAACCAGUACCGUGAGGGAAAGGCGAAAAGAACCCCU
rnacentral:rRNA from 1 species